GAUCAUGGCUCAGGGAUGAACGCUAGCUACAGGCUUAACACAUGCAAGUCGAGGGGCAGCAUGGUCUUAGCUUGCUAAGGCCGAUGGCGACCGGCGCACGGGUGAGUAACACGUAUCCAACCCGCCGUCUACUCUUGGACAGCCUUCUGAAAGGAAGAUUAAUACAAGAUGGCAUCAUGAGUCCGCAUGUUCACAUGAUUAAAGGUAUUCCGGUAGACGAUGGGGA
rnacentral:rRNA from 1 species